rnacentral:rRNA from 1 species
ACUCAAAUGAAUUGACGGGAGCUUGCACAAGUGGUGGAGCGUGUGGCUCAAUUCGUCGCUAAGCGAAGAACCUUACCAGGGCUAGAAAUCCUACUGCACGUCUAGCGAAAGCUAGAAAGCCUUCGAGGGUGUAGGACAGGUGAUGCAUGGCUGUCGUCAGUUCGUGGUUUGAACCGUUCCCUUCAGUGGGGUAACGAACGCAACCCUCGUUGUGUGUUACAAGUGUCACACGAGACUGCCCCCUCACGGGGGAGGAAGGUGGGGAUGACGCCAAGUCAGCAUGUCCCUCUGAUGUCCUGGGCUGCACACGCGCUACAAUCGCCGUUACAAAGGGGCGCGACGUCGUAAGACCGAGCAAAUCCUCCAAAAGCGGCGCCAGUUCGGAUUGAGGUCUGCAACCCGACCUCAUGAAGCCGGAAUCACUAGUAAUCGUGGGUCAGCCACACCACGGUGAAUACGUUCUCAAGCUUUGUACACACCGCCCGU